rnacentral:rRNA from 1 species
UACGUAGGGUGCGAGCGUUAAUCGGAAUUACUGGGCGUAAAGCGUGCGCAGGCGGUUCGUUGUGUCGGUGGUGAAAGCCCCGGGCUUAACCUGGGAAUGGCCAUGGAAACUGGCGAACUGGAGUGUGGCAGAGGGGGGUGGAAUUCCGCGUGUAGCGGUGAAAUGCGUAGAUAUCGGGAGGAACACCUGUGGCGAAAGCGGCUCACUGGACCACAACUGACGCUGAGGCGCGAAAGCUAGGGGAGCAAACAGG